rnacentral:rRNA from 1 species
AUUGAAUGCUGGCGGCAGGCCUAACACAUGCAAGUCGAACGAGUGGCGGACGGGUGAGUAAUGUCUGGGAAACUGCCCGAUGGAGGGGGAUAACUACUGGAAACGGUAGCUAAUACCGCAUACCAUCGGAUGUGCCCAGAUGGGAUUAGAUAGUAGGUGGGGUAAAGGUUCACCUAGGCGACGAUCCCUAGAUGGUCUGAGAGGAUGACCAGCCACACUGGAACUCAGACACGGCCCAGACUCCUACGGGAGGCAGCAGUGGGGAAUAUUGCACAAUGGGCGCAAGCCGGAUGCAGCCCUGCCGCGUGUAUGAAGAAGGCCUUCGGGUUGUAAAGUACUUUCAGCGAGGAGGCGUUACUCGCAGAAGAAGCACCGGCUAACUCCGUGCCAGCAGCCGCGGUAAUUC